UACGUAGGGUGCAAGCGUUGUCCGGAAUUAUUGGGCGUAAAGAGCUCGUAGGUGGCCUGUCGCGUCGGCUGUGAAAACUCGGGGCUCAACUCCGAGCUUGCAGUCGAUACGGGCAGGCUAGAGUUCGGCAGGGGAGACUGGAAUUCCUGGUGUAGCGGUGGAAUGCGCAGAUAUCAGGAGGAACACCGGUGGCGAAGGCGGGUCUCUGGGCCGAUACUGACACUGAGAAGCGAAAGCGUGGGGAGCGAACAGG
rnacentral:rRNA from 1 species